UACGUAGGGUCCAAGCGUUAAUCGGCCUUACUGGGCGUAAAGCGUGCGUAGGCGGUCUCGCAAGUCCGAUGUGAAAUCCCCGGGCUUAACCUGGGAACUGCGUUGGAAACUAUGAGACUAGAGUGCGGCAGAGGGGGGUGGAAUUCCAGGUGUAGCAGUGAAAUGCGUAGAUAUCUGGAGGAACACCGAGGGCGAAGGCAGCCCCCUGGGCCAGCACUGACGCUCAUGCACGAAAGCGUGGGGAGCAAACAGG
rnacentral:rRNA from 1 species